CCUGGCUCAGGACGAACGCUGGCGGCGCGCCUAACACAUGCAAGUCGAACGAGCGAGAGAGAGCUUGCUUUCUCAAGCGAGUGGCGAACGGGUGAGUAACGCGUGAGGAACCUGCCUCAAAGAGGGGGACAACAGUUGGAAACGACUGCUAAUACCGCAUAAGCCCACGGCUCGGCAUCGAGCAGAGGGAAAAGGAGCAAUCCGCUUUGAGAUGGCCUCGCGUCCGAUUAGCUAGUUGGUGAGGUAAUGGCCCACCAAGGCGACGAUCGGUAGCCGGACUGAGAGGUUGAACGGCCACAUUGGGACUGAGACACGGCCCAGACUCCUACGGGAGGCAGCAGUGGGGAAUAUUGCACAAUGGGGGAAACCCUGAUGCAGCGACGCCGCGUGGAGGAAGAAGGUCUUCGGAUUGUAAACUCCUGUUGUUGAGGAAGAUAAUGACGGUACUCAACAAGGAAGUGACGGCUAACUACGUGCCAGCAGCCGCGGUAAAACGUAGGUCACAAGCGUUGUCCGGAAUUACUGGGUGUAAAGGGAGCGCAGGCGGGAAGACAAGUUGGAAGUGAAAUCCAUGGGCUCAACCCAUGAACUGCUUUCAAAACUGUUUUUCUUGAGUAGUGCAGAGGUAGGCGGAAUUCCCGGUGUAGCGGUGGAAUGCGUAGAUAUCGGGAGGAACACCAGUGGCGAAGGCGGCCUACUGGGCACCAACUGACGCUGAGGCUCGAAAGUGUGGGUAGCAAACAGGAUUAGAUACCCUGGUAGUCCACACUGUAAACGAUGAUUACUAGGUGUUGGAGGAUUGACCCCUUCAGUGCCGCAGUUAACACAAUAAGUAAUCCACCUGGGGAGUACGACCGCAAGGUUGAAACUCAAAGGAAUUGACGGGGGCCCGCACAAGCAGUGGAGUAUGUGGUUUAAUUCGACGCAACGCGAAGAACCUUACCAAGUCUUGACAUCCCUUGACGAUGCUGGAAACAGUAUUUCUCUUCGGAGCAAGGAGACAGGUGGUGCAUGGUUGUCGUCAGCUCGUGUCGUGAGAUGUUGGGUUAAGUCCCGCAACGAGCGCAACCCUUAUGGUCAGUUACUACGCAAGAGGACUCUGGCCAGACUGCUGUUGACAAAACGGAGGAAGGUGGGGAUGACGUCAAAUCAUCAUGCCCUUUAUGACUUGGGCUACACACGUACUACAAUGGCGUUAAACAAAGAGAAGCAAGACCGCGAGGUGGAGCAAAACUCAGAAACAACGUCCCAGUUCGGACUGCAGGCUGCAACUCGCCUGCACGAAGUCGGAAUUGCUAGUAAUCGCAGAUCAGCAUGCUGCGGUGAAUACGUUCCCGGGCCUUGCACACACCGC
rnacentral:rRNA from 1 species